rnacentral:rRNA from 1 species
CAUGCUAAAAAUCCCGACUUCGGAAGGGAUGUAUUUAUUAGAUUAAAAACCAAUGCCCUCUGGGCUCCUUGGUGAUUCAUAAUAACUUUUCGAAUCGCAUGGCCUUGCGCCGGCGAUGGUUCAUUCAAAUUUCUUCCCUAUCAACUUUCGAUGUUUGGGUAUUGGCCAAACAUGGUCGCAACGGGUAACGGAGGGUUAGGGCUCGACCCCGGAGAAGGAGCCUGAGAAACGGCUACUACAUCCAAGGAAGGCAGCAGGCGCGCAAAUUACCCAAUCCCGAUUCGGGGAGGUAGUGACAAUAAAUACUGAUACAGGGCUCUUUUGGGUCUUGUAAUUGGAAUGAGUACAAUUUAAAUCUCUUAACGAGGAACAAUUGGAGGGCAAGUCUGGUGCCAGCAGCCGCGGUAAUUCCAGCUCCAAUAGCGUAUAUUAAAGUUGUUGUGGUUAAAAAGCUCGUAGUUGAACCUUGGGCCUGGCUGGCCGGUCCGCCUCACCGCGUGUACUGGUCCGGCCGGGCCUUUCCCUCUGUGGAACCUCAUGCCCUUCACUGGGCGUGGCGGGGAAACAGGACUUUUACUUUGAAAAAAUUAGAGUGCUCCAGGCAGGCCUAUGCUCGAAUACAUUAGCAUGGAAUAAUGAAAUAGGACGUGUGGUUCUAUUUUGUUGGUUUCUAGGACCGCCGUAAUGAUUAAUAGGGACAGUCGGGGGCAUCAGUAUUCAAUUGUCAGAGGUGAAAUUCUUGGAUUUAUUGAAGACUAACUACUGCGAAAGCAUUUGCCAAGGAUGUUUUCAUUAAUCAGGAACGAAAGUUAGGGGAUCGAAGACGAUCAGAUACCGUCGUAGUCUUAACCAUAAACUAUGCCGACUAGGGAUCGGACGAUGUUAUUUUUUGACGCGUUNGGCACCUUACGAGAAAUCAAAGUGCUUGGGCUCCAGGGGGAGUAUGGUCGCAAGGCUGAAACUUAAAGAAAUUGACGGAAGGGCACCACCAGGGGUGGAGCCUGCGGCUUAAUUUGACUCAACACGGGGAAACUCACCAGGUCCAGACACAAUGAGGAUUGACAGAUUGAGAGCUCUUUCUUGAUUUUGUGGGUGGUGGUGCAUGGCCGUUCUUAGUUGGUGGAGUGAUUUGUCUGCUUAAUUGCGAUAACGAACGAGACCUUAACCUGCUAAAUAGCCCGUAUUGCUUUGGCAGUACGCUGGCUUCUUAGAGGGACUAUCGGCUCAAGCCGAUGGAAGUUUGAGGCAAUAACAGGUCUGUGAUGC